GGUCACAAGGGGGCGUGGAACUGCUGCAGCCCAUCUGUGACAGAGCAGACUCCUGCGAAUUUGCCCAGCUAGGUACAUCCUCUACAUGGUAGCAACUUGAAGAAAAUUCUUCCUUUUUGCUUCCAUUACCUGAUAUCCUCAUCGCUGAUGUAUCGAGGAGCCGUGACCCGGCCUCACAGGAAGGGCCAGGGCGAAGACGUAUCCCCGACGGCCAAGACACGGCCACGGUGGUGAUUUUUGAUGGUGAGACAGAGCAGACUCGAGCGACUUUGCCCAGCCAGGAGCACAUAAAAGAUAAUCAGCGUUUAUUCGCUAGCUGGAAUUAAAGGCAACGGCGAGAGAGCAAGAUCAAGGACAACUUCAAAAUUUAACAAUAUAUGCAAGGUGUUAACGUACUCGCUGGUGUUGGCCUUCUUUCCGCUCCGUUCACAAUUCAUGAAGCUGGAUGGGCUGGUCUUACAGUUCUGUCUGUUUUUGCAAUUAUUUGCUGUUAUACUGGAGUUCUUCUCAAGCAUUGUUUCGAGAGCAAAGACGGUAUUGCAACCUAUCCAGACAUCGGGGAGGCCGCCUUUGGAAGAAUUGGCCGCUUGAUCAUAUCUGCAAGCCCUGGCUUCUGUACAAUAUUCUACUGUGUUUGGCUAUUAUUUUGUAUACUGAGUUAUAUUCAUACUGCAUGGAAUUCAUUAUACUGGAAGGUGAUAAUAUGACAUCAAUCUUUCCUGACGUCAAUAUUAAUUUGUUUGGGAUUCAUGUCGACAGUAAACAUUUCUUUGGAGUGUUAACUGCACUGGUAGUCCUGCCCACAGUAUGGCUGCGAGAUCUGCGAGUGCUAUCAUACCUUUCAGCGGGUGGUGUGAUUGCAACUCUUGUGGUGUUUAUAUCUGUCACUUUAGUCGGCACCACUGAAGGUGUAGGGUUCCAUCAGACCGGGGAAGCAGUAAAGUGGAGUGGCAUGCCCUUUGCUAUUGGUAUUUACGGUUUCUGCUACUCUGGGCAUUCGGUAUUUCCUAAUAUCUACCAAUCAAUGUCUGAUCGCACAAAAUUCCCUAAGGCACUUUUCAUAUGCUUCAUAGUUUGCACAGCGAUAUAUGGCUCGUUCGCUAUUAUUGGCUAUCUCAUGUUUAGUGACAAGACUCUGUCGCAAAUAACUUUGAAUCUUCCAAAAGAGUCAUUUGCCUCGAAAGUUGCUCUGUGGACCACGGUGAUCAACCCUUUCACCAAAUUUGCCUUGUUGUUAAACCCAAUUGGCUCGGAGUUUAGAAGAGUUGCGCCCUGAAGGAUUUUUGAACGAAACAAUCGUCUCUAUUAUACUGAGGACGAGCCUUGUGGCGUCAACUGUUGUCAUUGCAUUUCUUCUUCCAUUAUUCGGUAUGCUUAUACCUUUGUUCAGCACUGAUUAUUUUUGCUAUGCAUUUUUUUAAGAUUGUCAAAUCUUAUGCACAUAGAAUACGACGGAAUCCCGUCGUCUGAAGGUUCCCGCCCUACAUCUUAGCAAUCAACAAAAUAUACGGUAUGCACGAAACAUUAGCAGCAAUCUUGACAUAGUCUUAUACCUGCAUGUAAGGGUAUGAAGUUUGCAUUGUAGUCUCCAACAUUUAUCCCGCCCGUAAGGACUGCAACACAUAAUGCAUUCUGCCACUUCCAGAAAUGGAUGUGAACCAACAUUUAUAACCAAUCCCCGGACACUAUUAUACCUGAUUCCGUCGAGUAGACGUUAUCAACAAUUUCAGCUACGGGUAUGAUGCUCGCAUUGUGUUCUGCAUCACUUCUCCCGCUUGUAAGACCUGGAAGACAUCCUGCAUCCUGUCAUAUAUUCAGGUCUCGCAACUAAACGAAAACAUGGUAGGUUGCAUCAUACCUGUAGUUACGUCAUCUUCAGGUGAAUGUUCGCCAACCGUGCUUUUUGAAUUCCCCAUAUGCAACUAUUGAAUGGCAAAAAUCAUGAAGACAGAAAUGGUAGUUAUUUGAUGACAUUCUGGAAGGGUUAUUGUUCUACAUAUAUACUGCAACUGUUUAGUAUACAUCUCUGUACUUUCUUAGAACGACUCCUGUUUUUGUUCUAUCUUCAGUUCAGCACAAGUGGAAACAUACUCUAGGGUCCUGUAAGGUUUGUGUUUUCUUUUUUGCCAUAUUUAUACAAGUGCAGGAUGCAGGAUACCCCUUGGAAAAAAUUGUUGGCACUUUCAUCUACAUCUUCUACAUCUCUGUAAUUUCUUAGAACGACUCCUGUUUUUGUUCUAUCUUCAGUUCAGCACAAGUGGAAACAUACUCUAGGGUCCUGUAAGGUUUGUGUUUUCUUUU
rnacentral:rRNA from 1 species